AUUUACGUCAAAAUGUUGUGUCAUAUUGAAAAUCAUGAUGUCAUAUACGUCAUUGUAAUUACAUCGUUUAAUCAAUGUCGUUCAAAUUUUCGGAUGCAUGCAAGCCCCAUCAAGUGCCCGGAAUGACCCUGGCGCGUGUGCAGCACACAGCAAGGAUCGUCCGUAAGCGUGCGAAAUUUGUGGACUGGCUUUCGUGCGGAAGCAAACGCCUUUGGAGCAUCGGCUGAAACAUUCGGAUAUUCUGACCAAUUCAUGCCGUCACUGUACUGAAAAGUUUAUAUAUUGUGUAUGUUUCUCGAAGCACGGGCGGACGUACAGCAGCGGAUGCAAACAACACGAGCCGAAGACGGCCACCAAUUGAAUAAUGACCUUAAGAAGGAAUCUACCGAUAAUGUUUAGUGAAAUUUGGAUUUAACACAAACGGUCUUUGUCGGUAUUUUGCCUAACGCUACUAAGUAAGGUUUUUCUCAAUUAAUGCACUGUGUUUAAAGAUAGAACUGCUGUAUUGUGUGAAUACAAUUAUAUUUAUACCUAA